UCCGCCGGGUGCCCUCGUUCAUCGGAAUUACUGGGCGUAAAGGGUGCGUAGGCGGUUUGUUAAGUCUGUUGUGAAAUCCCCGGGCUCAACCUGGGAAUGGCAAUGGAUACUGGCAAGCUAGAGUGUGUCAGAGGAUGGUGGAAUUUCCGGUGUAGCGGUGAAAUGCGUAGAGAUCGGAAGGAACAUCAGUGGCGAAGGCGGCCAUCUGGGACAACACUGACGCUGAGGCACGAAAGCGUGGGGAGCAAACAGG
rnacentral:rRNA from 1 species